rnacentral:rRNA from 1 species
GAUGAACGCUGGCGGCGUGCUUAACACAUGCAAGUCGAACGGAAAGGCCACAGCUUGCUGUGGUACUCGAGUGGCGAACGGGUGAGUAACACGUGGGUGAUCUGCCCUGUACUUCGGGAUAAGCUUGGGAAACUGGGUCUAAUACCGGAUAGGAAUCACAUGUGGGUGUGUGGUUGGAAAGCUUUUGCGGUAUGGGAUGAGCUCGCGGCCUAUCAGCGUGUUGGUGGGGUAAUGGCCUACCAAGGCGUCGACGGGUAGCCGGCCUGAGAGGGUGUACGGCCACAUUGGGACUGAGAUACGGCCCAGACUCCUACGGGAGGCAGCAGUGGGGAAUAUUGCACAAUGGGCGCAAGCCUGAUGCAGCGACGCCGCGUGGGGGAUGACGGCCUUCGGGUUGUAAACUCCUUUCGUCAGGGACGAAGCGAAAGUGACGGUACCUGGAUAAGAAGCACCGGCUAACUACGUG